rnacentral:rRNA from 1 species
ACACGACUACAUUAGACUACCCCUGUAGUCCCAGCCCUAAACGAUGCGCGUUAGGUGUAUCGGUGACCACGAGUCACCGAGGUGCCGAAGGGAAACCGUGAAACGUGCCGCCUGGGAAGUACGGUCGCAAGGCUGAAACUUAAAGGAAUUGGCGGGGAGCACCACAACGGGUGGAGCCUGCGGUUUAAUUGGACUCAACGCCGGGAAGCUCACCGGAUAAGACAGCGGAAUGAUUGCCGGGCUGAAGACCCUGCAUGACCAGCUG